AGGAAAAACACAUAUUAUCUUAGACUGCAAUCUAGUGUGAGGAUGAGAUGGUAUUUUAAUAGGGCUGCAUUUAUCAACUGUAACAAGGGAGGGAAUGUGCUCCAACCCAGCGCGCCUUGUGGGCAAUGCAAGCAAGAGUCAGCGAGUGCGACCGCCGGAGGAGUGCGGCGAUGGGAGGAAGGCAGACGGACAGACAGCCUGCUGGGAACGAGGGCGGUCUGCAGGUGAUCUCGCAGGGGAGGGUGCGGCACCCACUGCCCAUCUUAGCGGGAUCCCAUCCCCUCGCUCCACCAUCCUCAAUGCUCCUGGAAACCUGAAUUUCUGACUUGACUUGCGAUGGGAUUUGCAUGUCUAGCCAGUGACACUACUAUUUUCAGAAGUAAUUACAUUUUUAAUUACGCUUUUUAAUAGCUGGUAGCUGCUGCUUUGCAGUUUUGUUCCUGUCCCUCUUGGACGCACCUUGGAGCAACACCAGGAGCCUCCACUUCCCUUCCAGUGAGAUGUGAGAGUGUGAACACACAGCGAGAAAGGGGAGAACGCGUGUGUCAAUGCGUGCAACUGAUCUCGCAGCCACAUAUCACAGCUGGAGACUGAAACCAGAGCUGGGCAGUGCAUCUCAGAGCCACGGGAACAGCCCCUCAGCAUUUCCCAACACAAGUCUGGAGAAAGAAUGAGGAAGACAGAAGGGCCCAGAUCUGCAGCGUGCAGACAGAGCUGGUCCUAGGAAAAGCACACCAGCUUUCCUCUAAAUCAGGCGUUUGGGCUGAGCGCUUGUGAUUGUAGGAGAAAGGGAAAGUGAUCAUAUAAAAGCAGCCACAGGAGAGGUGAAAUAAACUCUUCAAAGAGGGCUCGUGCUGGUGCAGAUUCUGCAUUGAAAAUCCAGAGUCAGAGAAUUCUCUGUGACGUUGGGCAAGGCGCUGCAUCUCUUACCAGCUCAGACUGCCAGUUGGUCACCGAGACACACCAACCUCCGCACUGCUCCUGUCCAUGGAAACAGACAGAGGUGUGGAAGAAUGAGGGUAUAUCUUUUCUAGAGAUCCAAAAGAAGGAGAGCUCUAAAUACAACAGAAAGGAAUUAGAAGGCAGCUCAUUUUGAUCCAGGCAGAUCCUUCAACCUUUUGAAAUUUAAAGGAUCCCUGACUUUCCUGAAGCAGUCUCAAGACUCCCAUGCACCCAUGUGCAGAGAAAAUAAAAGUCCCUCUGCGCCGCCUGCUCAUUAAUUUGCUUUUCUUUUCUCAUCAUUUGUUUGCUAGCUUGUCUGCUUGGGAAGAUGGCAUGGGUUUCUAUGAUUUUCCAGUCAUUGCCUAACCCACCUGUUGUAGGGCCCAGCAGCGCUUAAUGGCACUGAGCACCACGGAGCUGCAAUGCCCAUAAGCAUGUCUGUUCCCAGUCCCUUUGGAGUCACUCCCUCACAGACACCCUUUCAUCAGCAGAUUUCAGGUGUGCAGCAAACCCUGGGCGCAUGGAGCACAGCAUACUGGAGCACUGCUGGCUGCACACCCCAGCACGCACCGGUGCGUGUCCCUGUCCAGCCAGCUACAAACAGCAGCACAGAGUGGCUGUGAUUUGGCAUCUCAUUACCACAAUGACUUCGGGAGUUCAGGUUUUCCAGCUUUCUAACCCGGCUUAGAAAGAAAUGAUGCAAUCCUUGGAAAGUUACUAUUGAUUUGAGCCUCAUGAAGUUGGUGGCCAAGCGUCAUCGGGUCAGAUGAGAUCAGGUCUUCCCCAGACACCCAUAUGACUGUAGACACAGCUCCAUCUCCUACUGCAACUUGGAAUUCUUUUAUGGGUAAAGAUGCAGAGUUUCACAGAGAUGCUAGGAAAAAUCUAGAAAAAUCUCGAUUUCUUGUGAGCUCAUCCGUUUGUACGUGACUGAGAAGUUCUGAGCCCACCUGCGAUCAGGCAGUGGGUCACUCAGCUGCACGGCAUGAAGACUGAGCAGGUUCAUCACAGCCCUCAGCCUGCCCUCGAG
ensembl:lncRNA